rnacentral:rRNA from 1 species
AUUGAACGCUGGCGGCAUGCCUUACACAUGCAAGUCGAACGGCAGCACGGGAGCAAUCCUGGUGGCGAGUGGCGAACGGGUGAGUAAUAUAUCGGAACGUGCCCGGUCGUGGGGAUAACGUAGCGAAAGCUACGCUAAUACCGCAUACGAUCUACGGAUGAAAGCGGGGGAUCGCAAGACCUCGCGCGAUUGGAGCGGCCGAUAUCAGAUUAGGUAGUUGGUGGGGUAAAGGCUCACCAAGCCAACGAUCUGUAGCU